UACGGGAGUGGCAAGCGUUAUCCGGAAUUAUUGGGCGUAAAGCGUCCGCAGGCGGUCUUGUAAGUCUGUUGUUAAAGCGUGGAGCUUAACUCCAUUUCAGCAAUGGAAACUGCAAGACUAGAGUGUGGUAGGGGCAGAGGGAAUUCCCGGUGUAGCGGUGAAAUGCGUAGAUAUCGGGAAGAACACCAGUGGCGAAGGCGCUCUGCUGGGCCAUAACUGACGCUCAUGGACGAAAGCCAGGGGAGCGAAAGGGAUUAGAUACCCCUGUAGUCCUGGCCGUAAACGAUGAACACUAGGUGUCGGGGGAAUCGACCCCCUCGGUGUCGUAGCCAACGCGUUAAGUGUUCCGCCUGGGGAGUACGCACGCAAGUGUGAAACUCAAAGGAAUUGACGGGGGCCCGCACAAGCGGUGGAGUAUGUGGUUUAAUUCGAUGCAACGCGAAGAACCUUACCAGGGUUUGACAUCCUGCGAAUCUUUUGGAAACGAGAGAGUGCCUUCGGGAACGCAGUGACAGGUGGUGCAUGGCUGUCGUCAGCUCGUGUCGUGAGAUGUUGGGUUAAGUCCCGCAACGAGCGCAACCCACGUCGUUAGUUGCCAGCAUUUAGUUGGGCACUCUAGCGAGACCGCCGGUGAUAAACCGGAGGAAGGUGUGGAUGACGUCAAGUCAUCAUGCCCCUUACAUCCUGGGCUACACACGUACUACAAUGCUACGGACAAAGGGCAGCAAACUCGCGAGAGCUAGCAAAUCCCAUAAACCGUGGCUCAGUUCAGAUCGUAGGCUGCAACUCGCCUACGUGAAGGAGGAAUCGCUAGUAAUAGCAGGUCAGCAUACUGCGGUGAAUACGUUC
rnacentral:rRNA from 1 species